GUGAACGCUGGCGGUAGGCCUAACACAUGCAAGUCGAACGGCAGCACAGUAAGAGCUUGCUCUUACGGGUGGCGAGUGGCGGACGGGUGAGGUAUACAUCGGAAUCUACUUUUUCGUGGGGGAUAACGUAGGGAAACUUACGCUAAUACCGCAUACGACCUACGGGUGAAAGCAGGGGAUCUUCGGACCUUGCGCGAUUGAAUGAGCCGAUGUCGGAUUAGCUAGUUGGCGGGGUAAAGGCCCACCAAGGCGACGAUCCGUAGCUGGUCUGAGAGGAUGAUCAGCCACACUGGAACUGAGACACGGUCCAGACUCCUACGGGAGGCAGCAGUGGGGAAUAUUGGACAAUGGGCGCAAGCCUGAUCCAGCCAUACCGCGUGGGUGAAGAAGGCCUUCGGGUUGUAAAGCCCUUUUGUUGGGAAAGAAAAGCAGCAGGUUAAUACCCCGCUGUUCUGACGGUACCCAAAGAAUAAGCACCGGCUAACUUCGUG
rnacentral:rRNA from 1 species